rnacentral:rRNA from 1 species
ACCGUGAGGGAAAGGUGAAAAGUACCCCGGGAGGGGAGUGAAACAGUCUCUGAAACCGUGCGCCUACAAUCCGUCGGAGCCCUUUUGUGGGGUGACGGCGUGCCUAUCGAAAAAUGAGUCUGCGAGUCAGUGGCAUGUGGCGAGCAUAACCCGUGUGGGGUAUGCGUAGCGAAGGCGAGUCUUAAAAGGCGUUUGAGUCGCGUGUCCUGGACCCGAAGCGGGAUGAUCUAGCCCUGAGCAGGUUGAAGCGCGGGUAAGACCGCGUGGAGGACCGAACCCACCUGGGUUGAAAACCGGGGGGAUGACUUGGGGCUAGGGGUGAAAGGCCAAUCAAAUUCCGUGAUAGCUGGUUCUCUCCGAAAUGCAUUUGGGUGCAGCGUCGGGUCAUUACGUCCCGGGGGUAGAGCUACUGGAUGCUUGCGGGCCCGUAUCGGGUACCAACAGCAACCAAACUCCGAAUACCGGUGACGCGUAUCCCGGCAGUGAGUCGGCGGGGGAUAAGCUUCGUCGUCGAAAGGGAAACAGCCCAGACCGUCGUCUAAGGUCCCGAAGCGUGUGCUAAGUGGGAAAGGAUGUGGAGUCGCAUAGACAGCCAGGAGGUUGGCUCAGAAGCAGCCACCCUUGAAAGAGUGCGUAACAGCUCACUGGUCUAGUGGUUCCGCGCCGACAAUGUAGCGGGGCUCAAGCACACCACCGAAGACGCGGCAGUAUCGUUUGGUACUGGGUAGGAGAGCGUCCCAUGAGGGGCGAAGCGGGCGUGGAAGCGUCCGUGGACUUCAUGG